GCAGUUCCAGCGCCAGCUGUCCCUGGAGUGGUGGGAGCUGCCGGUGGCCCCAGGCACUGUCCCCUGAGGAGCUGCUGAAGGACGCUGCCCUGAAGACCGUGAGGCCUGCCAGACACUGCCAGGAGCCAGCAGGGAGAAGCUGAAGGCCACGAGCAAGAGCAGCGAACAGGGAGCUGCUGCUGCUGCCACCCCGAGAGCCUGGAUGUCCCAUCUGCUGUCCUUGUCCAGGAGAGCUGCUCUGCACGGUUGGAAGAGACUGAGGGAGAGGCUUUGAAGAUGGGGGAGCUGAGUUCCCUCUGUUUAAAGAAGAACGGACUCAUGCAUAAAGAGG